ACAUAAAAGUUGGGAUCAAGCUCGAAUUGUUCUUUAUUAACUUAUUUUUCUUACAUGAAACAUCCUAGAGGAAAUGAAACAAGUGAACAAAAGUGUACUGAUGGCUAAGCCUUCUUCAGGUCUGGAUUGCUUGGCGAUAUUACACUUCCACUUUGAACUCUACGUGAUUUUCAUUUAUAGAAGAGCAUAGAAGCACCGUCACACAAAACAAAUUUUACAAAAUAUGAAGCUACGUCUGAACUCCAUCAGCCAGUCGGCAUUCCAUAUUUUUACAAAAAGGACCUUGAUUAAAAAAAAAUCCCAUUUGAGGGGAAUUUCUUUUAUAUUUGAAGUACUUUGUACUUAAGUAAUUUUCAAGGAAUCUGAUAACGCCCAAACGUCAAGUAUGAGCACAUGGAAAAUCAAAUAUUUUUGAUGGCAAAUUCAGUGACGGAAGGACGACAAAUUUGUUUCGUUUUUUUGAGAAUCAGAUGACAUGGCAUGCAUGCAUGGCAUCUUCGUGCUUUAAUGCGCGCCGGGCCAAAUAGAGAGUGAGCCACCGCUAUAUUAUCGGCCAGUGGGCCAAAACUGCGGCCUAGGCCCAUGAGCCCAUACGCAGGAACCGGCUUCCCGAGCCCAACCGACCUCUUUCUGGGGCAACACGAGGCGGCAACCAGGCCGAGCAUUCCCGUCCCCUCCCCACCCUUCUCUCCGUCGCCGUAGAUCCACCGCCGCCACCGCCGACGACGACGAUGGGCUGCCUGCUGGCGCUCACCGACGACCUCAUCGCAGACAUCCUCAUCCGCCUGCCGUCGCCGGCUGACCUCGCGCGCGCCUCCGCCUCCUGCGGCCCGCUCCGCCGCGUCGUCACCUCCCCGCGGUUCCUCCGCCGGGUCCGCUCCCUCCACGCCCCGCCCCCGCUCGGCGUCUACGUCCCCGACGCCGCCGCAGGAUUCUUCCCCGCCCUCCCGCCGAACCCCGCGGCCCGCCCCGCCCGCGCGCUCGCCCUCGCCGCCGACUUCUCCUUCGCCUUCCUCCCGGCCCCCGCGCGCGCCUGGCUCGUCCGCGACCGCCGCGACGGCCGCUUCCUCCUCGACCGCGCCGCGCCCGCCGGCUCCACGGCCUUCACCGAGGUCGCCGUCUGCGACCCGCUCUCCCGGCGCUGCCUCCUGCUCCCGCCCAUCCCCGACGCCCUCGCCGCCUCCGUCGACAACCCCUACCUCCAGCGCGGCGGCGACGACGGGGGGCUCCAGUCGCGCAGCAACGAGAUCUUCCUGGCUUCUCGCGGCAACGACGACCGCGGCGAGGAGCUGCCGUUCGCCGUCAUCUGGAUGGCGUGCUGCCGAGGGAAGCUGGUCGCGUUCUCCUUCUGCUCUGGAUCUCGGGAAUGGAGCGCGCUUUCGCCGCCGGUGCACCACGCGCUCAGCAUGCGGAGGGUCAUGGGUGUCCGACUGGGGCAGCGCAACCAUGCCCACGGGUGCUUCUACUGGAUGAUAACUCUCACCCGGAGGUGGCUCGUGCUGGACACCCGCAAAAUGGAGUUCUCCAUCCUCGACAUUUCGCCUGUCCUGGCAGGCCGCUCGAUGAUGUUCAGUAAUCAGAUCACCACUCUGGAGUCAGGAGAAGGCAGGACAACCGUUGUGGUCUCGGAUCUUUUCAGGGCGGAUAAAAGAUGUGUCCUCUACUUUUAUUCGUUCAUGCAUUUCAGUGACCGGUGGCAGCUGCUGAACAAAAUCACCUUACCUGAGGAAUGGGGAGACCGGUUUCGAGGCAUCAUAGGUGCAUUUGAGGGCUGCUUAUAUAUAAAGCUAGAUCAUCCAAAGCAGAACUUGGGAGAUCCUGUUGAGCAAAAUGUCACAUACUUUUGGUUCGAUCUCAAGACUAUGCAGGUUGGUAGGUUCACCGAGAUAAGUUCUGCUACGGUGAACGAAGCCUACCUUUACACGGGGUUUCCCCCAUCACUGUCACUUCCUAGUGUUUGAUGCGAUGGACGACUGAUUUCUGGAUUGGCUGGUUCCUUGGAGCUGGAAAAAGUCUGCCAAGUGGCAUUUGCUGAACGUGAUCCCAAGGAAUUCAGCAUAUGAGAAUGGAACAUCUGGGUGAAUAUUUGUUGCUUGAUGUUUGUCAGAAUUGCAUUUUUACAACCGUUUCCUCAUCAUUGCCGGUUUUGUCACUGACAGUGUAUGAUAUGAUGUGGAUUGACAUCACUGAGUGGGGACAUGACAACUGCUAGCUAACCAUUCAUUAACGAUGGCAGAAGCAACAUAGAAGAUAGCGACUAUCGUUGGCACAGGAGACCUACUGGAAGAACAAGAGCUCUAGUAUAUCUUGGAAACCCUUCAGUUCUAUCCUAUGAUGGCCCUACCCCAACAUGAAUCAUCCAGCCAUGAACUACUCUAUUCACUGGCUUGCGACUUCCUGGUAGUAACGAUGCUUGUGUUGAACGUGAACCAUGAAGCAAAGCAAUCUGAUCAUCUGGCAGUUGCUUUUUGGUUUGAGGAGUUCUCGCUAGUAAGGUGGUGGCUCUUGCGCUGGGUAAGUGUAGACUUGAGAAGAGGACUGAAGGUUAGGGAUUGAUGCUGCUGAAUGUUGUUGUAUUUGAAGCUUUGUGGAUGUCUUGAAUGGACUUCAGGUAAAAAUGUUUCCUACCAUGGAGAGAAUGGACAAUAAGCCACAUAUUAUCCAUUUGGUGAUUGGAUUGGAAAUCCUCAAACUUGGGCUGUCAAUAUUUGUGGCAUUUGAAAAA